rnacentral:tRNA from 2 species
GGAGGGGUAGUCAAGCCUGGCCAAAGACGCGAGACUUAAGAUCUCGUCUCUUAGGGGUUCGUGGGUUCAAAUCCCACCUCCUCCA